rnacentral:rRNA from 1 species
AGAGUUUGAUCCUGGCUCAGAUUGAACGCUGGCGGCAUGCCUUACACAUGCAAGUCGAACGGCAGCACGGGAGCAAUCCUGGUGGCGAGUGGCGAACGGGUGAGUAAUACAUCGGAACGUGUCCUGGAGUGGGGGAUAGCCCGGCGAAAGCCGGAUUAAUACCGCAUACGAUCUCUGGAUGAAAGCGGGGGACCGAAAGGCCUCGCGCUCAAGGGGCGGCCGAUGGCAGAUUAGCUAGUUGGUGGGGUAAAGGCCUACCAAGGCGACGAUCUGUAGCUGGUCUGAGAGGACGACCAGCCACACUGGGACUGAGACACGGCCCAGACUCCUACGGGAGGCAGCAGUGGGGAAUUUUGGACAAUGGGGGCAACCCUGAUCCAGCAAUGCCGCGUGUGUGAAGAAGGCCUUCGGGUUGUAAAGCACUUUUGUCCGGAAAGAAAACUUCCUGGUUAAUACCUGGGGAGGAUGACGGUACCGGAAGAAUAAGCACCGGCUAACUACGUGCCAGCAGCCGCGGUAAUACGUAGGGUGCGAGCGUUAAUCGGAAUUACUGGGCGUAAAGCGUGCGCAGGCGGUUCGCUAAGACCGAUGUGAAAUCCCCGGGCUUAACCUGGGAACUGCAUUGGUGACUGGCGGGCUAGAGUAUGGCAGAGGGGGGUAGAAUUCCACGUGUAGCAGUGAAAUGCGUAGAGAUGUGGAGGAAUACCGAUGGCGAAGGCAGCCCCCUGGGCCAAUACUGACGCUCAUGCACGAAAGCGUGGGGAGCAAACAGGAUUAGAUACCCUGGUAGUCCACGCCCUAAACGAUGUCAACUAGUUGUCGGGUCUUCAUUGACUUGGUAACGAAGCUAACGCGUGAAGUUGACCGCCUGGGGAGUACGGUCGCAAGAUUAAAACUCAAAGGAAUUGACGGGGACCCGCACAAGCGGUGGAUGAUGUGGAUUAAUUCGAUGCAACGCGA